UACCAGCACCCCGAGUGGUCGGGACGAUUAUUGGGCCUAAAGCAUCCGUAGCCGGUUUUACAAGUCCCCCGUUAAAUCCAGCUGCUUAACAGAUGGGCUGCGGAGGAUACUAUAAGACUAGGAGGUAGGAGAGGCAAGCGGUACUCAGUGGGUAGGGGUAAAAUCCGUUGAUCCAUUGAAGACCACCAGUGGCGAAGGCGGCUUGCCAGAACGCGCUCGACGGUGAGGGAUGAAAGCUGGGGGAGCAAACCGG
rnacentral:rRNA from 1 species